UAAGUACCUGAAGGAAGAGAAAGAAAUUCGAUUCCGUAAGUAGCGGCGAGCGAACGCGGAUUAGCCCAAACCAAUAAAGUUUUCUUUAUUGGGGUUGCGGACAUAUCAUAACGAAGAGGUAUCGUAAUUGAAGAGGUUUGGAAAGACCCACCACAGAAGGUAAUAGUCCUGUAUGUUAAACGAGAAGACUUCAGAUAUGAUCCAGAGUACCACGGGACACGUGAAACCCUGUGGGAAGCAGGAGGGACCACCCUCCAAGGCUAAAUACUACCUAGUGACCGAUAGCGUAUAGUACCGUGAGGGAAAGGUGAAAAGAACCCCGGGAGGGGAGUGAAAUAGAACCUGAAACCCUGCACUUACAAGCUGUGGAAGCACAUUUCUUGUGUGACCGCGUACUUUUUGUAGAACGGGCCAACGAGUUACGUUAAGUAGCAAGGUUAAGCACUUAAGGUGUGGAGCCGUAGCGAAAGCGAGUUUUAACUGAGCGUUCAGUUACUUGACGUAGACCCGAAACCGGGCGACCUACCCAUGAGCAGGAUGAAGCGAAAGUAAAAUUUCGUGGAGGUCCGAACCCACGAGCGUUGAAAAGCUCGGGGAUGACUUGUGGGUAGCGGUGAAAUUCCAAUCGAGCCCGGAGAUAGCUGGUUCUCCCCGAAAUAGCUUUAGGGCUAGCCUCAAGGUGAGAGAUACGGAGGUAGAGCACUGAAUGUCCUAGGGGGUAUUGCACCUACCGAAGACUAUCAAACUCCGAAUGCCGUCAUCUUAUACUUGGGAGUCAGACUGUGGGUGAUAAGAUUCAUAGUCGAAAGGGCAACAGCCCAGAUCGUCAGCUAAGGUCCCUAAAUGUAAGUUAAGUGGUAAAGGAUGUGGGAUUGCACAGACAACCAGGAUGUUGGCUUAGAAGCAGCCACUCAUUCAAAGAGUGCGUAAUAGCUCACUGGUCGAGUGAUCCUGCGCCGAAGAUUUCCGGGGCUAAAACUUACUACCGAAGCUACGGCAUCAGUAAUGAUGGGUAGGGGAGCUUCCCAUACGGGUUGAAGCAUGACCGUAAGGACAUGUGGACAGUAUGGGAGUGAGAAUGUUGGCAUGAGUAGCGAGAUGUGGGUGAGAAUCCCACAGGCCGUAAACCCAAGGUUUCCAGGGGAAGGUUCGUCCGCCCUGGGUUAGUCGGGACCUAAGCUGAGGCCGAAAGGCGUAGGUGAUGGACAACAGGUUGAUAUUCCUGUACUACCGAUAACCGUUUGAGAGAAGGGAUGACACAGUAGGAUAAGCUAAGCACACUGUUGGUUAUGUGUGCCCAAGCAUUGAGGCAGUCAAAGUAGGCAAAUCCGCUUUGAUAAUGCUGGGAUGUGAUGGGGAGCGAAAUUUAGUAGCGAAGUAGCUGAUUUCACACUGUCAAGAAAAGUCUCUAUCGAGGUUAAAGGUACCCGUACCGCAAACCGACACAGGUGGGUGAGGAGAGUAUCCUAAGGCCAGCGAGAGAACUGUUGUUAAGGAACUCGGCAAAAUGACCCCGUAACUUAGGGAUAAGGGGUGCCACCAUCAGGUGGCCGCAGAGAAUAGGCCCAAGCGACUGUUUACCAAAAACAUAGGUUUCUGCUAAGUCGCAAGACGAUGUAUAGGAGCUGACGCCUGCCCGGUGCUGGAAGGUUAAGGGGAUCUGUUAGAGCAAUCGAAGCAGUGAACUUAAGCCCCAGUAAACGGCGGCCGUAACUAUAACGGUCCUAAGGUAGCGAAAUUCCUUGUCGGGUAAGUUCCGACCCGCACGAAAGGCGUAACGAUUUGGGCACUGUCUCAACAACAGACUCGGUGAAAUUGUAAUUCCGGUGAAGAUGCCGGAUACCUGCGACAGGACGGAAAGACCCCAUGGAGCUUUACUGUAGCUUGACAUUGGGUUUUGGUACUACAUGUACAGGAUAGGUGGGAGGCUUUGAAACCAGGACGCCAGUUUUGGCGGAG
rnacentral:rRNA from 1 species